rnacentral:rRNA from 1 species
UGGGAUUAGAUACCCCACUAUCAUGAACAGUAAUUCGGUAAUCUUAGUAUUAAUAGUUAUGAUCUUUAAAUUAAAAGAAUUUGGCGGUAAUCUAGUCUGUUCAGAGGAAUCUGCCCUGUAAUUGAUAUUCCACGAUGAAUUUUACUUUAUCUAUGCUUGUAUAUCUCUGUCAUUGAAUGUCCUAUUAGGGUAUUUUCUUUAAUCUUUAAUGUGUAAGAUGUCAGGUCAAGGUGCAGCGAUGGUAAAGAAGAGGUGGAUUACAUUAAAUUUAUUUAUGGAUAGUGAAUAUGGAAAUUUUCUUGAAAUUGGAUUUGAAAGUAAUUUCUAUUAGAAUAUAGAUUUGAUUUUAGCUCUAGAUUAUGCACACACCG